CUGCGAAUGGCUCAUUAAAUCAGUUAUCGUUUAUUUGAUAGUACCUUCCUACUUGGAUAACCGUGGUAAUUCUAGAGCUAAUACAUGCUAAAAACCCCGACUUCGGGAGGGGUGUAUUUAUUAGAUAAAAAACCAAUGCCCUUCGGGGCUCCUUGGUGAAUCAUGAUAACUUAACGGAUCGCAUGGCCUUGCGCCGGCGACGGUUCAUUCAAAUUUCUGCCCUAUCAACUUUCGAUUGUAGGGUAUUGGCCUACAAUGGUUUCAACGGGUAACGGGGAGUUAGGGCUCGACUCCGGAGAGGGAGCCUGAGAAACGGCUACCACAUCCAAGGAAGGCAGCAGGCGCGCAAAUUACCCAAUCCCGACACGGGGAGGUAGUGACAAUAAAUACUGAUACAGGGCUCUUUUGGGUCUUGUAAUUGGAAUGAGUACAAUUUAAAUACCUUAACGAGGAACAAUUGGAGGGCAAGUCUGGUGCCAGCAGCCGCGGUAAUUCCAGCUCCAAUAGCGUAUAUUAAAGUUGUUGCAGUUAAAAAGCUCGUAGUUGAACCUUGGGCCUGGCUGGCCGGUCCGCCUCACCGCGUGCACUGGUCCGGCCGGGCCUUUCCUUCUGGAGAGCCGCAUGCCCUUCACUGGGUGUGUCGGGGAACCAGGACUUUUACUUUGAGAAAAUUAGAGUGUUCAAAGCAGGCCUUUGCUCGAAUACGUUAGCAUGGAAUAAUAGAAUAGGACGUGCGGUCCUAUUUUGUUGGUUUCUAGGACCGCCGUAAUGAUUAAUAGGGAUAGUCGGGGGCAUCAGUAUUCAAUUGUCAGAGGUGAAAUUCUUGGAUUUAUUGAAGACUAACUACUGCGAAAGCAUUUGCCAAGGAUGUUUUCAUUAAUCAGUGAACGAAAGUUAGGGGAUCGAAGACGAUCAGAUACCGUCGUAGUCUUAACCGUAAACU
rnacentral:rRNA from 1 species